rnacentral:misc_RNA from 1 species
AUUAAGGCUUAGUUUUUGUUGUAUGCAUAUCAAAGUUAUGGAUUAUCAUACGCAUUCACAAAUGGAAAAUCAAAACAGUUGGGGUUUGGCUCCUGAUGUGACUUGUUAACUUUUGUAAUAUUCUCUACUGUGUAUUUCAGUGAAUCAUGGUCAGGAUUAAUGUUUUAUGCCUAGGAUGCAGUUAUUUUGCUUGUUUACUUGAAUUCUUUUAACUUUUUCCUUGUUACUUCUUCAACUCGUCCUUUAUUUUCGCCUUUUUUCCCAUCAGAUUAUUGUUUUCACCACUCACUAUUGAUAUUCAGGAAGACAUUGAACUCAUCGCUA